rnacentral:rRNA from 1 species
GACGAACGCUGGCGGCGUGCCUAAUACAUGCAAGUAGAACGCAGUUUCGAACUGGUGAGUGACGCGUUGGUAACUGCCUCACACCGGGGGAUAACUGUUUGAAACGAUAACUAAAACCCCAUUCUUUGAUAUCUACCUGCGUUGUAUUAGCUGGUUGGUGUGGUAAAGGCGUUACUAGGCUACGAUACAUAGCCGACCUGAGAGGGUGAUCGGCCACACUUGGACUGAGACACGGCCCAGACUCCUACGGGAGGCAGCAGUAGGGAAUCUUCGGCAAUGGGGGGAAGUCUGACCGAGCAACGCCGCGUGAGUGAAGAAGGUUUUCGGAUCGGAAAGCUCUUUUGUUAGAGAAGCGGUAACUAACCAGAAAGGGACGGCUAACUACGUGCCAGCAGCCGCGGUAAUAC